rnacentral:misc_RNA from 1 species
GAUGAAGAACGCAGCGAAAUGCGAUAAGUAGUGUGAAUUGCAGAAUUCAGUGAAUCAUCGAAUCUUUGAACGCACAUUGCGCCCUUUGGUAUUCCUUAGGGCAUGCCUGUUUGAGCGUCAUUUCAACCCUCAAGCCCUGCUUGGUGUUGGGCGUUUGUCCUGCCUCCGCGCGGGACUCGCCUCAAAGACAUUGGCGGCCGGUUUCCCUUUGCAGGCCACGAGCGCAGCACAGCGAGCGCUCUACGUGGACGCGGGGUCGGCGCACCAGAAGCCCUCUUUCUCGAAUUUUGACCUCGGAUCAGGUAGGGAUACCCGCUGAACUUAAGCAUAUCAAUAAGCGGAGGA